UACAGAGGUCUCAAGCGUUGUUCGGAUUCAUUGGGCGUAAAGGGUGCGUAGGCGGCGCGGUAAGUCGGGUGUGAAAUCUCGGGGCUUAACUCCGAAACUGCAUUCGGUACUGCCGUGCUUGAGGACUGGAGAGGAGACUGGAAUUUACGGUGUAGCGGUGAAAUGCGUAGAUAUCGUAAGGAAGACCAGUGGCGAAGGCGGGUCUCUGGACAGUUCCUGACGCUGAGGCACGAAGGUCAGGGGAGCAAACGGG
rnacentral:rRNA from 1 species